GACGAACGCUGGCGGCGUGCCUAAUACAUGCAAGUCGAGCGAAUCUGAGGGAGCUUGCUCCCAAAGAUUAGCGGCGGACGGGUGAGUAACACGUGGGCAACCUGCCUGUAAGACUGGGAUAACUCCGGGAAACCGGGGCUAAUACCGGAUAAUAUCUAUUUAUACAUAUAAUUAGAUUGAAAGAUGGUUCUGCUAUCACUUACAGAUGGGCCCGCGGCGCAUUAGCUAGUUGGUGAGGUAACGGCUCACCAAGGCGACGAUGCGUAGCCGACCUGAGAGGGUGAUCGGCCACACUGGGACUGAGACACGGCCCAGACUCCUACGGGAGGCAGCAGUAGGGAAUCUUCCGCAAUGGACGAAAGUCUGACGGAGCAACGCCGCGUGAGUGAUGAAGGUUUUCGGAUCGUAAAACUCUGUUGUUAGGGAAGAACAAGUACCGGAGUAACUGCCGGUACCUUGACGGUACCUAACCAGAAAGCCACGGCUAACUACGUGCCAGCAGCCGCGGUAAUACGUAGGUGGCAAGCGUUGUCCGGAAUUAUUGGGCGUAAAGCGCGCGCAGGCGGUUCCUUAAGUCUGAUGUGAAAGCCCACGGCUCAACCGUGGAGGGUCAUUGGAAACUGGGGAACUUGAGUGCAGAAGAGGAAAGUGGAAUUCCAAGUGUAGCGGUGAAAUGCGUAGAGAUUUGGAGGAACACCAGUGGCGAAGGCGACUUUCUGGUCUGUA
rnacentral:rRNA from 1 species